GACGAACCGUGCGAACGUUGUUCGGAUUCACUGGGCUUAAAGGGCGCGUAGGCGGGUUACCAAGUCAGGGGUGAAAUCUUUCGGCUCAACCGGAAAAGUGCCCCUGAUACUGGUAGUCUUGAGGGAGGUAGGGGCAUGUGGAACUUCCGGUGGAGCGGUGAAAUGCGUAGAUAUCGGAAGGAAGACCAGUGGCGAAGGCGGGUCUCUGGACAGUUCCUGACGCUGAGGCACGAAGGCCAGGGGAGCAAACGGG
rnacentral:rRNA from 1 species